CAGAGCCGCGGUAAUACGUAGGGUGUGAGCGUUAAUCGGAAUUACUGGGCGUAAAUCGUGCGCAGGCGGUUAUAUAAGACAGAUGUGAAAUCCCCGGGCUCAACCUGGGACCUGCAUUUGUGACUGUAUAGCUAGAGUACGGUAGAGGGGGAUGGAAUUCCGCGUGUAGCAGUGAAAUGCGUAGAUAUGCGGAGGAACACCGAUGGCGAAGGCAAUCCCCUGGACCUGUACUGACGCUCAUGCACGAAAGCGUGGGGAGCAAACAGGAUUAGAUACCCCCGUAGUCCCUGUCUCUUAUACC
rnacentral:rRNA from 1 species